CAGUCGCCGCGGUAAUACGAAGGGGGCUAGCGUUGUUCGGAGUUACUGGGCGUAAAGCGCACGUAGGCGGAUAUUUAAGUCAGGGGUGAAAUCCCGCAGCUCAACUGCGGAACUGCCUUUGAUACUGGGUAUCUUGAGUAUGGAAGAGGUUAGUGGAAUUGCGAGUGUAGAGGUGAAAUUCGUAGAUAUUCGCAGGAACACCAGUGGCGAAGGCGGCUAACUGGUCCAUAACUGACGCUGAGGUGCGAAAGCGUGGGGAGCAAACAGGAUUAGAUACCCCCGUAGUCCCUGUCUCUUAUAC
rnacentral:rRNA from 1 species